rnacentral:rRNA from 1 species
GAUGAACGCUGGCGGCGUGCCUAAUACAUGCAAGUCGAGCGAAUGGAUUAAGAGCUUGCUCUUAUGAAGUUAGCGGCGGACGGGUGAGUAACACGUGGGUAACCUGCCCAUAAGACUGGGAUAACUCCGGGAAACCGGGGCUAAUACCGGAUAACAUUUUGAACCGCAUGGUUCGAAAUUGAAAGGCGGCUUCGGCUGUCACUUAUGGAUGGACCCGCGUCGCAUUAGCUAGUUGGUGAGGUAACGGCUCACCAAGGCAACGAUGCGUAGCCGACCGGACAGGGUGAUCGGCCACACUGGGACGGAGACACGGCCCAGACUCCUACGGGAGGCAGCAGUAGGGAAUCUUCCGCAAUGGACGAAAGUCUGACGGAGCAACGCUGCGUGAGUGAUGAAGGCUUCCGGGUCGUAAAACUCUGUUGUUAGGGAAGAACAAGUGCUAGUUGAAUAAGCUGGCACCUUGACGGUACCUAACCAGAAAGCCACGGCUAACUACGUGCCAGCCGCCGCGGUAA